AACGAACGCUGGCGGCAGGCCUAACACAUGCAAGUCGAACGCUGUAGCAAUACAGAGUGGCAGACGGGUGAGUAACACGUGGGAAUCUUCCUAUCGGUACGGAAUAGCUAAGGGAAACUUGGGGUAAUACCGCAUACGCCCUUCGGGGGAAAGAUUUAUCGCCGAUAGAUGAUCCCGCGUCUGAUUAGCUAGUUGGUGAGGUAAUGGCUCACCAAGGCGACGAUCAGUAGCUGGUCUGAGAGGAUGACCAGCCACACUGGGACUGAGACACGGCCCAGACUCCUACGGGAGGCAGCAGUGGGGAAUAUUGGACAAUGGGCGCAAGCCUGAUCCAGCCAUGCCGCGUGAGUGACGAAGGUCUUCGGAUUGUAAAGCUCUUUUGCCAGGGACGAUAAUGACGGUACCUGGAGAAUAAGCCCCGGCUAACUUCGUGCCAGCAGCCGCGGUAACAC
rnacentral:rRNA from 1 species